UAUGUCUCUUCUAAAUUAUUAUGUGUGUAGGUGACUACUGUGGGGAUCAAUACUGAAUGGGGAUUAUUGAUGGCCAGUAUAUCGGAAGGAAGUGGUGAACAAACUCCAUUAUAGGUGACUAUUAUGGUUGUUGUUGUACCUGAAGGUCUUCCAUUGGCUGUUACAUUGACUCUUACCUACUCAAUGAAGAAGAUGGCAAACAAAGCAUUGAUAUGCUUCUCUUCUUAUCAAACUAGAAUCCAUACGUUCAACUAUUAGUAAGUUGCUACGUUACAGCUUCAGAGGCUAUCAGCUUGUGAAAUGAUUGGAUCUACCACUACCAUCUGCAACGAUAAAAUUGGAACUCUAACAUUGA